rnacentral:rRNA from 1 species
AUUGAACGCUGGCGGCAUGCUCUACACAUGCAAGUCGAACGGUAACAGGCCUUCGGGCGCUGACGAGUGGCGAACGGGUGAGUAAUGCAUCGGAACGUGCCCAGUCGUGGGGGAUAACGCAGCGAAAGCUGUGCUAAUACCGCAUACGAUCUGCGGAUGAAAGCGGGGGACCUUCGGGCCUCGUGCGAUUGGAGCGGCCGAUGUCAGAUUAGGUAGUUGGUGGGGUAAAGGCUCACCAAGCCAACGAUCUGUAGCUGGUCUGAGAGGACGACCAGCCACACUGGGACUGAGACACGGCCCAGACUCCUACGGGAGGCAGCAGUGGGGAAUUUUGGACAAUGGGCGCAAGCCUGAUCCAGCAAUGCCGCGUGCAGGAAGAAGGCCUUCGGGUUGUAAACUGCUUUUGUACGGAGCGAAAAGGCUCCCUCUAAUACAGGGGGCUCAUGACGGUACCGUAAGAAUAAGCACCGGCUAACUACGUGCCAGCCGCCGCGGUAACAC